rnacentral:rRNA from 1 species
UGAAAUUGAACUCGCUGUGAAGAUGCAGUGUACCCGCGGCAAGACGGAAAGACCCCGUGAACCUUUACUAUAGCUUGACACUGAACAUUGAGCCUUGAUGUGUAGGAUAGGUGGGAGGCUUUGAAGUGUGGACGCCAGUCUGCAUGGAGCCGGCCUUGAAAUACCACCCUUUAAUGUUUGAUGUUCUAACGUGGACCCGUGAUCCGGGUUGCGGACAGUGUCUGGUGGGUAGUUUGACUGGGGCGGUCUCCUCCUAAAGAGUAACGGAGGAGCACGAAGGUUGGCUAAUCCUGGUCGGACAUCAGGAGGUUAGUGCAAUGGCAUAAGCCAGCUUGACUGCGAGCGUGACGGCGCGAGCAGGUGCGAAAGCAGGUCAUAGUGAUCCGGUGGUUCUGAAUGGAAGGGCCAUCGCUCAACGGAUAAAAGGUACUCCGGGGAUAACAGGCUGAUACCGCCCAAGAGUUCAUAUCGACGGCGGUGUUUGGCACCUCGAUGUCGGCUCAUCACAUCCUGGGGCUGAAGUAGGUCCCAAGGGUAUGGCUGUUCGCCAUUUAAAGUGGUACGCGAGCUGGGUUUAGAACGUCGUGAGACAGUUCGGUCCCUAUCUGCCGUGGGCGCUGGAGAACUGAGGGGGGCUGCUCCUAGUACGAGAGGACCGGAGUGGACGCAUCACUGGUGUUCGGGUUGUCAUGCCAAUGGCACUGCCCGGUAGCUAAAUGCGGAAGAGAUAAGUGCUGAAAGCAUCUAAGCACGAAACUUGCCCCGAGAUGAGUUCUCCCUGACCCUUUAAGGGUCCUGAAGGAACGUUGAAGACGACGACGUUGAUAGGCCGGGUGUGUAAGCGCAGCGAUGCGUUGAGCUAACCGGUACUAAUGAACCGUGAGGCUUAACCUU